UUAUUUGUAGAGAACCACAAAUGUAUGCUUUCCAUCUACCACUGAUAUAAGGAAUUCUGCUUCCUAUGGACUACAUUGAUAAUGUGUCUCCAUGGAUGUAUUCCAGAGUAGAGUCAUUUAGAAAUCUACUGGAUGUUCAGCUUUUCUGAACUAUAAGAGAGAUUCUGCACUGAACCCUUGCCUAUGUAUCUGACCAGUUUGCUAGAUGGCCAGAAGGGACAGGGCUGGAAAAAAAGAAACCGCCCUAACAAGCAAACUGUGGGUAGGUGCAGUCUCUGUGAUUUGAUUCUGAUGUCUAUCCUCUGCUAUUUGUUAGGUGAAGUAUCCCAGCAAAGUUGCUUUUCUUUAAGAGAUGGAAGCAGGACAACAAAGUAAGGAAAAACUGAAGCCUCAGUUCAGCUCUGAUUUGAUUGUUAAUUACAAAUAAUUUGCUUGUCAUGGUCAUGAGAGAUAUGGGGAUGUGCCCUAAAGGAUUCUAGAAGCUGUCAAAAAUUGCAAACAUUUUAAUGACUUUUAAAGUUGUAUUGUGAAAGAGCAAUAGUAUGAGGUUAUUUUCCUUA